UAUAUACUCCCUCCGUCCGGAAAUACUUGUCGGAGAAAUGCAUAAAAAUGAAUGUAUUUAGAACAAAAAUACAUCUAGAUACAUCCAUUCCUCCGACGAGUAUUUCUGGACGGAGGGAGUAUAUA
rnacentral:pre_miRNA from 1 species